rnacentral:rRNA from 1 species
AAUCAACGCUGGCGGCGUGCCUCAGACAUGCAAGUCGAACGCGAAAGUCCCCUUCGGGGGAUGAUUAGAGUGGCGCACGGGUGAGUAACACGUAGGUAAUCUACCUUCGAGUGGGGAAUAACUCAGGGAAACUUGAGCUAAUACCGCAUAAUGCAGCGGCACCACAUGGUGACAGUUGUUAAAGCAUUUAUGCGCUUGAAGAGGAGCCUGCGGCAGAUAGCUAGUUGGUAAGGUAAUGGCUUACCAAGGCUACGAUCUGUAACCGGCCUGAGAGGGCGGACGGUCACACUGACACUGAAUAACGGGUCAGACUCCUACGGGAGGCAGCAGUCGGGAAUUUUGGGCAAUGGGCGAAAGCCUGACCCAGCAACGCCGCGUGAAGGAU